UACAGAGUGAGCAAGCGUUACCCAUCCUAACUGGGUGUAAAGGGUGUGUAGGUGGGUAUUAUAUAGAUGGCUAGAUGUAAAUUGCUGUGUUUGGCAGGCGUUUCUAGCAGCAAAUAUCUUCUGAGGUGUAAAGAGAUUACUAGUAUACAUGGUGUAUUUAUUUAGGAAAUUGUCUAUCUCAUGGGGACUACCAAUCGCGAAGGCAUUUAAUCUGUUACAAUCUGACACUAAGGCACGAAAUCGUGGGGAGCAAAAGGG
rnacentral:rRNA from 1 species